rnacentral:rRNA from 1 species
GGGGGGACACCCCGGGAAACUGGGGCUAAUCCCAGAUAGAUGAGAACCCCUGGAAUGGGUUUUCGUCCAAAAGGCACCGCGGUUAUGCUCUGCGGUGUCGCUCAAGGAUGGGGCCGCGUCCGAUCAGGCUGUUGGUGAGGCAAUGGCUCACCAAACCUAUAACCGGUACGGGCCGUGGGAGCGGGAGCCCGGAGAUGGGAACUGAGACAAGGUCCCAGGCCCUACGGGGCGCAGCAGUUACGAAAACUUGUCAAUGCACGAAAGUGUGAACGGGCUACCCCGAGUGCCGUCCGCUGAGGAUGGCUUUUCUCUGCUGUAAGAAGGCGGAGGAAUAAGGCGAGGGCAAGUCUGGUGUCAGCCGCCGCGGUAAUACCAGCUCGCCGAGUGGUAGGGAUGAUUAUUGGGCCUAAAGCGUCCGUAGCCGGCCUUUCAAGUCUCUUGUUAAAUCCAACGAUUCGAUCGCUGGACUGCAGGAGAUACUGUCAGGCUGGGGGGCGGGAGAAGCCGACGGUAUUUUCGGGGUAGGGGUAAAAUCCUAUAAUCCCGGGAAGACCACCAGUGGCGUAGGCGGUCGGCUAGCACGCGCUCGACGGUGAGGGACGAAAGCUGGGGGAGCGAACCGGAUUAGAUACCCGGGUAGUCUCAGCUGUAAACGAUGCUGGCUAGGUGUUGAAGCGGCUACGAGCCGCUUCAGUGCCGCAGGGAAGCCAUUAAGCCAGCCGCCUGGGGAGUACGGCCGCAAGGCUGAAACUUAAAGGAAUUGGCGGGGGAGCAC